rnacentral:rRNA from 1 species
GGACGAACGCUGGCGGCGUGCUUAACACAUGCAAGUCGAACGGUGAAGGGACCGGYUUUUGCUGGUUCUGGAUGAGUGGCGAACGGGUGAGUAACACGUGAGUAACCUGCCCCCUUCUUCUGGAUAACCGCAUGAAAGUGUGGCUAAUACGGGAUAUUCUGCGCCUGCUGCAUGGUGGGUGUGGGAAAGAUAUUGUUUCGGUGGGGGAUGGGCUCGCGGCCUAUCAGCUUGUUGGUGGGGUGAUGGCCUACCAAGGCGGUGACGGGUAGCCGGCCUGAGAGGGUGGACGGUCACACUGGGACUGAGACACGGCCCAGACUCCUACGGGAGGCAGCAGUGGGGAAUAUUGCACAAUGGGCGCAAGCCUGAUGCAGCGACGCCGCGUGAGGGAUGGAGGCCUUCGGGUUGUAAACCUCUUUCGCCAGUGAAGCAGGCCUGYYCCUUGUGGGUGGGUUGACGGUAGCUGGAUAAGAAGCGCCGGCUAACUACGU